rnacentral:rRNA from 1 species
UACGUAGGGGGCAAGCGUUGUCCGGAAUCAUUGGGCGUAAAGAGCGUGUAGGCGGCCAGAUAAGUCCGCUGUGAAAUCUCGAGGCUCAACUUCGAGCUGUCGGUGGAAACUGUCUGGCUAGAGUCCGGAAGAGGAGAAUGGAAUUCCUGGUGUAGCGGUGAAAUGCGCAGAUAUCAGGAAGAACACCCGUGGCGAAGGCGGUUCUCUGGGCCUGUUCUGACGCUGAGGCGCGAAAGCUAGGGGAGCAAACAGG